rnacentral:rRNA from 1 species
GGGUCAGUAGGUUGGUCGUGCCACCGGUACGUACUGGUCUCACUGAUUCCUCCUUCCUGAAGAACCGUAAUGCCAUUAAUUUGGUGUUGCGGGGAAACAGGACUGUUACUUUGAAAAAAUUAGAGUGUUUAAAGCAAUCUAACGCUUGAAUACAUUAGCAUGGAAUAAUGAAAUAGUACGAUCGAUCCUAUUUUGUUGGUUUCUAGGAUUGACGUA